rnacentral:rRNA from 1 species
CUACGGGACGCAGCAGUGAGGAAUAUUGCACAAUGGGGGGAACCCUGAUGCAGCAACGCCGCGUGGAGGAUGACGCAUUUCGGUGUGUAAACUCCUUUUAUAUGUCAAGAAAAUGACGGUAGUAUAUGAAUAAGCACCGGCUAACUCCGUGCCAGCAGCCGCGGUAAUACGGAGGGUGCAAGCGUUACUCGGAAUCACUGGGCGUAAAGGACGCGUAGGCGGGUUGGAAAGUCAGGUGUGAAAUCCUACAGCUUAACUGUAGAACUGCACUUGAAACUUCUAAUCUAGAGUAUGGGAGGGGAGAUGGAAUUAGUGGUGUAGGGGUAAAAUCCGUAGAUAUCACUAGGAAUACCUAAAGCGAAGGCGAUCUCCUGGAACAUUACUGACGCUAAGGCGUGAAAGCGUGGGGAGCAAACAGGAUUAGAUACCCCAGUAGUC